rnacentral:rRNA from 1 species
UACAGAGGCCCCGAGCGUUGUUCGGAUUCAUUGGGCGUAAAGGGUGCGUAGGUGGCGCCGUAAGUGGGGUGUGAAAUCCCGGGGCUUAACCCCGGGACUGCAUUCCAUACUGCGGUGCUUGAGGACUGGAGAGGAGACUGGAAUUUACGGUGUAGCAGUGAAAUGCGUAGAGAUCGUAAGGAAGACCAGUGGCGAAGGCGGGUCUCUGGACAGUUCCUGACACUGAGGCACGAAGGCCAGGGGAGCAAACGGG